rnacentral:misc_RNA from 1 species
AAAGUCGUAACAAGGUUUCCGUAGGUGAACCUGCGGAGGGAUCAUUACCGAGUUUACAACUCCCAAACCCCUGUGAACAUACCUUUAUGUUGCCUCGGCGGAUCAGCCCGCGCCCCGUAAAACGGGACGGCCCGCCGCAGGAAACCCUAAACUCUGUUUUUAGUGGAACUUCUGAGUAUAAAAAACAAAUAAAUCAAAACUUUCAACAACGGAUCUCUUGGUUCUG